AUAGCAGUGGUAGGGAAGCGAAAGCGGACCGACCUUCGGGUAGCUGUUACAGGUGUUGCAUGGCUGUCGUCAGCUCGUGUCGUGAGAUGUUCGGUUAAGUCCGCUAACGAGCGCAACCCUCGUGAUGUGUUACAAGUGUCACAUCAUACUGCCGGUAUUAAGUCGGAGGAAGGUGGGGAUGACGUCAAGUCAGCAUGACCUUUAUAUCCAGGGCUACACACACGCUACAAUGGUCUGUACAAUAGGUUGCCAAGCCGCGAGGCGGAGCCAAUCCUAAAAAGCAGGCCUCAGUUCAGAUUGCAGUCUGCAACUCGACUGCAUGAAGUUGGAGUUGCUAGUAAACGCAGGUCAGCUAUACUGCGUUGAAUACGUUCCCGGGGAUU
rnacentral:rRNA from 1 species